GAGUGUAGCUCAGUUAUAGAGCGUUCACUCUGCACGUGAAAGCGCGGGGUUCGAUCCCCCUCACAUCCA